rnacentral:lncRNA from 1 species
CUUUUCAACAGAGAUACUUUAUAUGAAACAUGAACAGGCAGAUAAACAAAUAGCACCAAAUUGUAAUACAUCAAUGUGGUGGAGAGGUCUAAGAAACAUCACGCCUUUAUAAAAAUCAGACCCACUUCACAGCAGGCGGCAAUUGUAGCAUCAUCCGUCAACAUGGAUAUCAAGUCCAGGCCUUCGGUUAGUGGAAUGGAAACCUUUAAAAUCAGAGUUGAAUGCAACAAAUUGGUCAUGUGGCAGAGAGAGAAGACAGACAAGAAAAGAAGAGAACAAAGUCAUGAGAAAGUAACCCUAGGUAAACACAUGAUAAUUUUCUGUGGAUUCUCAGAAGCCAAACACAACUCAUCAUUAGAUGCAAUUUGACUUGAUAAAUCCAGUAUUUACAUCUCAGAAUUCUGUGAACUGUGGGAUUCAACAUCGGUUUUAUCAACUGCAUCUACUGGGCUUCAACUGAGAGAGACUUUGCCCCACACUUAGACCAGUGCUACAAAGAGAUGACCUAUCUCUCUGGGAUGGAUUAAUGGAAAGUAUUCAGUUCACUGGAACUCCAUCAACUCCUCAGUUGUGCAAAGGAACUUAGGAUGUCACUUCUAGGCUGAGAGGAAAUUAUCUAUGCCUUGAUUGCGUUGCAAAGUAAGGGGUUGGGGAGGGGCAAUCGAGGAGGGAGGGGCAAGUGGGGUGGAGAGAGCAAUCCAUUUUAAAGAAUAAGGAUACUUCUUUAUAAAAAUUGACAACAAUAAAUAACGUUGUGGCAAAAAUUGUAUUAAAGAAUGUAUAUGUUCACUCCGC